rnacentral:lncRNA from 1 species
AUAUCUUAAGAAGAAGAAGAAAUUAGCUACAAAAUUCUAUCUUUAGAGUACAAGUCUGAAUCUAUACUCCUCCUAAAGAAGAAUUCUCUCCUUGAUUCAGAGACUGAAAUGAUUAAUCGCAAUAAUGAAUUAACAAGCUAAACCCAAUGAGCAUUAGGCACUUAGAGAUAAAAGGGGGGUCCACGAGUCAUUCGAGAAGCUGUGGUGCCAACCUAAAAUUGGAUAAUUUGGUAAAAGUGGGCCCAAAACUUAAAAUCCACAAAUUUUUAUUUAAUUUUCUUUUGGAAAAAAAAAGGUUUAUAUUUUAUAUUUUAUUGAAAAAAAAAAAGGAAAAGGAAACGAGUGAGAGAAAAAGAAAGGAGAGCCUUAAGGUUACGGAUUUCUGGGUAAAACAAGUUAUGUGGUGCAGCCACUUCAACCAUCACCACUAGCUUUCAAAAAAAUGUAGUGAGAAGAAAGAUCGAUAGGGACUUGCAAUUGAUUUUUAGCCACCAAUUUCAAUAUCUGCCCUUGACCCCACUCUAAUUGUUUCAAGGCCAUUACUUUAGUUUUUUUGCCUUUUUUCUUUUCUUUUUUUUUAAUUUUCUCCUCAUUACUUUCAUGUCUCUCUUGAAGUUUCUCCUCUCCUCCUUGAGAAGAACGAAGAGUCCUUAUGUGUGGUAUAUUUAAAAUCCAAGUGAGUGAUUCUUACUUGCAAAUUCCAAGUGAAUUAUCAUGUGUAACCCCAAAUAUAUCAUGGAUAAAAAAAUAAAAAAUAAAAUAAAAAUAUUGAAACCUUUAUCCAAAACAUAUGGUAGAUAUGGAAACAACAGAAUCGGAAUCUUCAAUGGCUUCAUCUGCGUGAACAGUAGCUUUUACUUUUUAGGGAUCAAAAUAUAAGAUAAUUAUUUUAAAGGCUAAUAUCUGAUGUGUCAAUUGUCAUCUAUGAAAUGAAUGAUAGUGGCUAUAGUUAUUUCUUUUACCACCCCAUAAAGGCAUUAAGAAAAAUACAAGGCCUCCACUACACUUAUGUUGACCCUUGAUUGAGUUUGUCAAGCCCAAUACUAAGCCCAACGCCUGAAGUUGGACAGCACUCUAAUCGGAUGGCUUGUGUAAACAGGCUUCACAUUUGUGGCCCAUGAGGAUGUACUCUUUGAUGGGAGAUGAGUAUUUGAAUUUAGGCUUUGAAUAAAUAAAAAUAAAAUCGACUUUCUAGAGGGCUUUGAAUAGAAAUUUUUUUAUAGUUUGUAGCAUGGAAUUCAAUGUCUACUUAAAGGCCAUAUAUUAAUUAUGUCAACCAGAAGUUAUUAAAAAAAUUAACACAGCCAUGAUUGAUUAUUGAAGUGGGCGGUUGUGUUGAUAAAGGAUUGUAUAUUGUUGAUACAUGGAUAACUUGUUUGACAAUUGAGUUUCUUGGUGGUGGAAGGGAGGAUCAUAAAAUUGUAUUUAAUUUUUUUACUUGUUUGUGAUAUGGAGAGUUGUUUAGACAAUUUUUUUAGUCAAAGAGGAUAUAUUAUUAAUUAGUUGGAGAUUAUUUGAUUAGUAUUUUUUUUUUUUUUUGUGGAUAUAGAAGUUCACAUUUUUAUAAAAGGCAGAUUUUAGCCAGUUAUAUGCAAUCAGGUACAAAAUAAUAAAAAAAUCACAAAAUAUAAUACAAUAUUUUAAUUGUGUCUUUGCAGCACGUCACAGACAAAGUUCACAAUUUUUUUUUUUGUUUUGUAAUUAGUUACUGACAACUAAUUGAAACGAACAUUUUACAAAAUGCAGAUGUCUACACCUAUAAAUGAUUAUUGAUUUGUAAUUUAUUUUUUGAAAUUAAAAUCCAACUAUUAAAGCUCGGGUGCAUAAAAAAGAUUAGAUCUAUUAAUUUGAUUAAUCAAGCACUCUCGGAUGGAAACAUAUAUUUAUACUUUCUUUUUUCUUUAAUCAUUUAGGAGUGUUGGUUGAGACGUCCCUUUGGUCAUACAGUGUAAAGCUUUGAAAUUUUAAUCAUGCUUACCUUAAUUGUUUGUCAAAAGGCUUGAAACUUUUGAGGAAUGAGAAGAAAACAAAAGGGUAUAAGUCACAAGUCUUAAAUUAAAUGUUAUCAUUAGAUAUAUUGACUAACAUUUUCAGAAACAAUGUAUGGCAUAAGGAAUUUUUUGGGUGAGUAUUUAAAAAAUGAAGCCACGCUAUUAAUAAGGGAAAUCAAGAUAACUAAUAGAAGAACUCAAUUAAGAUGUUUAAGGGUUAAGAGAGGAAAGAAGAAAAAGAAAAUUAUAAUAAUUUCAUAAAUUUACACUCGACCAAAGCAUAAUUAAGAUCUCCAAUUUUUUUUACCAAUAUUAAUUUGUGGCAUAUCAUGAAUUAGAAUUGCUUUAAAUAUGAUCAUUAUAGAAACUUUGAAAAGAAUAUUCACCCACUUCCUUUGUACUUAAUAAUGGGCUUGAUAUUGAUCAUCUGUGGGACCUUUGUCACUAUAGUUUAUAACUAUAAUAUAAUAUGUCACUACUUUUCACCGCUCAAAGUCAUCUUUCAAGAAAUGCAAGGGUAAUGAUAGCAUAGAAUUAUGUAAAAUAUAAUUGGGGUAUCUUCGGGGUUAAUUUCGGUUUAUCCUUGAUAAAUUGAAUAUGUUCAAAUUA